GCCUGGGUGGCUCAGUCGGUUGAGCGUCUGCCUUCAGCUCAGGUCAUGACCCCAAGGUCCUGGGAUCGAGUCCCACAUCGGGCU
rnacentral:tRNA from 1 species